GCAUAUCAAUAAGCGGAGGAAAAGAAACUAACAAGGAUUCCCCUAGUAGCGGCGAGCGAAGCGGGAAAAGCUCAAAUUUGUAAUCUGGCGUCUUCGACGUCCGAGUUGUAAUCUCGAGAAGUGUUUUCCGUGAUAGACCGCAUACAAGUCUCUUGGAACAGAGCGUCAUAGUGGUGAGAACCCAGUACACGAUGCGGAUGCCUAUUACUUUGUGAUACACUUUCGAAGAGUCGAGUUGUUUGGGAAUGCAGCUCAAAUUGGGUGGUAAAUUCCAUCUAAAGCUAAAUAUUGGCGAGAGACCGAUAGCGAACAAGUACCGUGAGGGAAAGAUGAAAAGCACUUUGGAAAGAGAGUUAACAGUACGUGAAAUUGUUGGAAGGGAAACACAUGCAGUGAUACUUGCUAUUCGGGGCAACUCGAUUGGCAGGCCCGCAUCAGUUUUUCGGGGCGGAAAAUCGUAGAGAGAAGGUAGCAGUUUCGGCUGUGUUAUAGCUCUUUACUGGAUUCGCCCUGGGGGACUGAGGAACGCAGCGUGCUUUUAGCAUGAGCUUCGGCUUAUCCACGCUUAGGAUGCGGGUUUAUGGCUGUAUAUGACCCGUCUUGAAACACGGACCAAGGAGUCUAACAUGCUUGCGAGUAUUUGGGUGUCAAACCCGGAUGCGCAAUGAAAGUGAAUGGAGGUGGGAAGCGCAAGCUGCACCAUCGACCGAUCUGGAUUUUUUAAGAUGGAUUUGAGUAAGAGCAAGUAUGUUGGGACCCGAAAGAUGGUGAACUAUGCCUGAAUAGGGCGAAGCCAGAGGAAACUCUGGUGGAGGCUCGUAGCGGUUCUGACGUGCAAAUCGAUCGUCAAAUUUGGGUAUAGGGGCGAAAGACUAAUCGAACCAUCUAGUAGCUGGUUCCUGCCGA
rnacentral:rRNA from 1 species